CAGCAGCCGCGGGAAUACGAAGGGGGCUAGCGUUGCUCGGAAUUACUGGGCGUAAAGGGAGCGUAGGCGGAUCGUUAAGUUGGGGGUGAAAGCCCGGGGCUCAACCUCGGAACUGCCUUCAAUACUGGCGAUCUUGAGUAUGAGAGAGGUGUGUGGAACUCCGAGUGUAGAGGUGAAAUUCGUAGAUAUUCGGAAGAACACCAGUGGCGAAGGCGACACACUGGCUCAUUACUGACGCUGAGGCUCGAAAGCGUGGGGAGCAAACAGGAUUAGAUACCCCUGUAGUCCCUGUCUCUUAUAC
rnacentral:rRNA from 1 species